UUGAACUUCAGGCUUGGUUGGUUGGUCCGCCUCACGGUGUGUACUGAUCGACUGAGCCUUACCUCUUGGUGAGCCAGCAUGCCGUUUAUUCGGUGUGUUGGGGAACCAGGAUUUUUA
rnacentral:rRNA from 1 species